rnacentral:rRNA from 1 species
GUGACCAUUCAAUCCCUGAAUGCACCCAAUCUUGUCUGAUCUCAGAAGCUAAGCAGGUCGGGCCCGGUUAGUACUUGGAUGGGAGAAGAGUUAUUCCUUUUGACAUGCUCGACAUUUGUUCUCC